GAAACACCCUUAUGGAUCAGGACUCACUUCAGUGGGACUUUGGUGUUCACUGAGUCUGCCCCUUGAGUGUGUUGCU
rfam:Myotis lucifugus cont2.31749, whole genome shotgun sequence.